AGAGCGAACGCUGGCGGCAGGCCUAACACAUGCAAGUCGAACGGACUCUUCGGAGUUAGUGGUGGACGGGUGAGUAACACGUGGGAACGUGCCUUUGGUUCGGAAUAGCUCCUGGAAACGGGUGGUAAUGCCGAAUGUGCCCUUCGGGGGAAAGAUUUAUCGCCAUUAGAGCGGCCCGCGUCUGAUUAGCUAGUUGGUGAGGUAAGGCUCACCAAGGCUACGAUCAGUAGCUGGUCUGAGAGGAUGACCAGCCACAUUGGGACUGAGACACGGCCAACUACCUACGGAGG
rnacentral:rRNA from 1 species